UACGUAGGGUGCGAGCGUUGUCCGGAAUUAUUGGGCGUAAAGAGCUUGUAGGCGGUUUGUCGCGUCUGCUGUGAAAAUCCGGGGCUCAACCCCGGACUUGCAGUGGGUACGGGCAGACUAGAGUGUGGUAGGGGAGACUGGAAUUCCUGGUGUAGCGGUGGAAUGCGCAGAUAUCAGGAGGAACACCGAUGGCGAAGGCAGGUCUCUGGGCCACUACUGACGCUGAGAAGCGAGAGCAUGGGGAGCGAACAGG
rnacentral:rRNA from 1 species